GGUCAACGGUAGUCACGCAGUCAAUACGCGACCCGGAAUACCAUAGUUGCACGCUGGCUAAUGCACAUUCUUGGAACGACACUACGGAAUCACGUUAGGCUAGCUUUGCACAGGAAUGUCAAGGUUACUUUUCAAAGAUAUGGCACGGUUGGAAUGGGAGAACCCAUGGGAAUUUGAGUACUUAGCGGCGUUCAUUGUUUAGAAGUCUUAGCUUUUUGCUUC
rnacentral:lncRNA from 1 species